rnacentral:ncRNA from 2 species
GAUUGGUGACACGGCACAGGUGCUGGCGCGAGCCGGCAUAAUAGGGAAUUCGGUGCCGCCGCGCCGGGCGAAUCUGUUGCACAACUCGCCGGACGCGGCAAAUCCGAAGCUGCCCCCGCAACUGUCAGCGGUGAGCGGCUGUCCAUCAAGCCACUGAGCACGCAUGCGAUAUUGCGCACGCGAGGUUUUGCUCGGGAAGGCGGACAGCAGCGACGACCCGCGAGCCAGGAGACCUGCCUGUUCCGGUCAUCCAUC